rnacentral:tRNA from 1 species
ACUUGUAUAGCUUAUCUUAAAGCAUAGCACUGAAAAUGCUAAAAUGAGCUUAAAACCUCUACUAGUA